rnacentral:rRNA from 1 species
AUUGAACGCUGGCGGCAGGCCUAACACAUGCAAGUCGAGCGGAGCAGCGGACGGGUGAGGAAUGCCUAGGAAUCUGCCUGGUCGUGGGGGAUAACGUCAGGAAACGGGCGCUAAUACCGCAUACUAUCAGAUGAGCCUAGGUCGGAUUAGCUAGUUGGUGGGGUAAAGUCAGACCAAGGCGAAGAUCCGUAACUGGUCUGAGAGGAUGAUCAGUCACACUGUAACUGAGACACGGUCCAGACUCCUACGGGAGGCAGCAGGGGGGAAUAUUGGACAAUGGGCGAAAGCCUGAUCCAGCCAUGCCGCGGGUGUGAAGAAGGUCUUCGGGUUGUAAAGCACUUUAAGUUGGGAGGCGUUACCAACAUAAUAAGCACCGGCUAACUUCGUGCCAGCAGCCGCGGUAAUAC